rnacentral:rRNA from 1 species
UGCCAGCCGCCGCGGUAAGACGGAGGGUGCAAACGUUGUUCGGAAUCACUGGGCAUAAAGCGCACGUAGGCGGCGCAUUAAGUCAGGUGUGAAAGCCCCCGGCUCAACCGGGGAACUGCAUCUGAUACUGAUGUGCUAGAGGACGGUUGGGGUGAGUGGAACUCCUGGUGGAGCGGUGAAAUGCGUAGAUAUCAGGAGGAACACCAGUGGCGAAAGCGGCUCACUGGACCGUGUCUGACGCUGAGGUGCGCAAGCUAGGGUCGCGAACGGGAUUAGAUA